rnacentral:rRNA from 1 species
AUUGAACGCUGGCGGCAGGCCUAACACAUGCAAGUCGAGCGGAGCGGCCGACGGGUGAGUAAUGCCUAGGUAUCUGCCUGGUAGUGGGGGAUAACGUCAGGUAACGGGCGCUAAUACCGCAUCCUAUCAGAUGAGCCUAGGCCGGAUUAGCUAGUUGGUGGGGUAAAGGCGUACCAAGGCGACGAUCCGUAGCUGGUCUGAGUGGAUGAUCAGUCACACUGGAACUGAGACACGGUCCAGACUCCUACGGGAGGCAGCAGUGGGGAAUAUUGGACAAUGGGCGAAAGCCUGAUGCAGCCAUGCCGCGUGUGUGAAGAAGGUCUUCGGAUUGUAAAGCACUUUAAGUUGGGAGGCGUUACCAACAGAAUAAGCACCGGCUAACUUCGUGCCAGCAGCCGCGGUAAUUC